UUGGUCAGAUCACUCUGAAAACAUGUGUUCUCAUUCGAUCACUGAAGUUAAGCAAAGUUGAACCCGAUCAGUACUUACGUGGCGGACUACUUGAAAACAUCGGGUACUGUAAG